GACGAACGCUGGCGGCGUGCUUAACACAUGCAAGUCGAACGGUAAGGCCCUUUCGGGGGUACACGAGUGGCGAACGGGUGAGUAACACGUGGGUGAUCUGCCCUGCACUUUGGGAUAAGCCUGGGAAACUGGGUCUAAUACCGGAUAGGACUACGCGAUGCAUGUCGUGUGGUGGAAAGCUUUUGCGGUGUGGGAUGGGCCCGCGGCCUAUCAGCUUGUUGGGGGGGUGAUGGCCUACCAAGGCGACGACGGGUAGCCGGCCUGAGAGGGUGUCCGGCCACACUGGGACUGAGAGACGGCCCAGACUCCUACGGGAGGCAGCAGUGGGGAAUAUUGCACAAUGGGCGCGAGCCUGAUGCAGCGACGCCGCGUGGGGGAUGACGGCCUUCGGGUUGUAAACCCCUUUCAGCACAGACGAAGCGUAAGUGACGGUAUGUGCAGAAGAAGCACCGGCCAACUACGUG
rnacentral:rRNA from 1 species